CACUUCUCAGGGUCGCACCUGGAGAGUUUCCAUUACUCUACCAGUCUCCACUGCGGGAGGAAGAGUCAAGCAGAGGCCAACCCAUUCCAUUCCUAGCUUGGUCUGUGGCUAGAGAGUGGCGGGCGAUCUGCUACAAGU